CCACUUUGUGCUGACACAACCAAAACUCACUGUGAGAGGGAGCCGGCAUAUGGAAAUAGACAACACUGGACCCAACCAAAACAUUCCUACACACUGACUGACACUCAUUACAUCAAAUGUGAAAGGCCGUGUUUACACCUGCAUCUGUGUCACGUCGGUGCCGAUACCUGGGUGAAACUGCUAAUGGACCAGAGUCUUGAUGGCACACAGAGCUGCAUUAACCAACAUUGGGCUGCGCCAAAGCCAAAGGAGCCCAUGGAAUGCCACAGGCACCCCAAAUGGAUUCCACAUGUUGUUUGCAUAAUUCCCUCUCCUCACAGUUGACCCUACUGGAAACAAAAGUUCACAGAAAUCCAUGUUGCAUCCGUGUGCAGGUCUGUUGGAGUCAUUUGUGCUGAGGUUGGGGAGACAAAGAGAAAGUCCUUCCUCUAGUUCAAGCUCAGGAACAGUCCAAAAAAAAAAAAAAAA